UAAAGUGAUCAAUUGCAAG
rnacentral:siRNA from 1 species